rnacentral:rRNA from 1 species
GACGAACGCUGGCGGUGUGCUUCACACAUGCAAGUCGAACGAGGUAGCAAUACCUAGUGGCGGACGGGUGAGUAACGCGUGGGAAUCUGCCUUUAGAUGGGGGAUAACGGGUCGAAAGACUCGCUAAUACCGCAUAUGACGAAAGUUGAAAGGAGUAAUCCGUCUAAAGAUGAGCCCGCGUCCGAUUAGCUAGUUGGUAGAGUAAAAGCCUACCAAGGCGACGAUCGGUAGCUGGUCUGAGAGGAUGAUCAGCCACACUGGGACUGAGACACGGCCCAGACUCCUACGGGAGGCAGCAGUGGGAAUAUUGGACAAUGGGCGAAAGCCUGAUCCAGCAAUGCCGCGUGAGUGAUGAAGGCCUUAGGGUUGUAAAGCUCUUUUACCCGGGAUGAUAAUGACAGUACCGGGAGAAUAAGCUCCGGGCUAAACUCCGUGCCAGCAGCCGCGGUAAU